CCAGUCUCAGCAGCUGGCCCCACCUCCAUGACUAAGAUCAUCAGUUUUGAUGAUCUCAGCCAAUCCAAUGCUUUCUCAUAGGAAAGCAUUAGGAUGAUAUUGCUCAAACAUGUCAAAACGCUGCUCUGUGCCAAUUAGUAUUUCCUUAUAGAGAUGCAUUGAAUCAAUGCCUCUCUAUUGGAAUGUUCAUGCUAAUGUUCAU